CACAAGCCAGGAGCUUUUAGAUAAGCAUUUUGGGGGAGCUAACAGAAGGUGAGGGGUUUCCGUAAAGCCAUGACUUUAAAACAAAUCCUCCGAAGUACAGAGAGCUGAGCUCUGCUCACCACCUCCAAACCCAGCAGUUCCCUCCCUGAGGCUGUGGCCUGGCCCCAGUCUCAGCUCGGACACCCCAGCCACUGAUGGAAUCCAAUUCCUUCCGGCAGCCUCUGAGGGCCAGAAGAACUCAGAAAGGACAGCCUGGGAGGCUGAUCAUCUCCUGACUUGUCUUCAUUCCUGGUGCCUCCUCCAAGCUCUGCUAAAGAGAGAAUGACAGCUCAGCAGAGAGAGAGGAGCACUCUGCGAGGAUGGAAUCGAGAAGGCUGCCCCUGCAGCCCAACCCUGCUCAAGGCCUUCAGAAGGUCCCCUGGAGCUUGAAGUACCUGCAAAGAGCAGGAUCCUAGGAGCCAAAGGAGGUCUCAAGAGCGUGGACUGUUUUUCUCCGCUGCAGAGUCAUAGUCAUUGUGUUCCUAUUGUGUGUCAGACACACACUCAUUUAACCUCGCCACAGUCCAGCAAGAUAAUGAAUUAUAAGGUUUCUUAACCUUUGCAUUGUUGACACUUUGGACUGGACCCUGCCCAUUCUCAUAGAGCCAACCCAUACUGGGGAAGAUAAGCAGAUGCCCCCAGAAGGCACAGUGAGGCCUAUCAGGAAAUAAGCCCAUGCCUGAGUGAUGGACAGGGCCCCUUCAGAGACCACCUCACAUAGAACCCUGGGAGCCCAACACAGCCAGCAG
rnacentral:lncRNA from 1 species